CCUUGCCUUGCCUCCCCUUGCCUUGAUUUCUCCUGAUAUUUCAAGGAUCCACCCAAAAGCGUUUGGCGAGGACCUGACGAAAGAGCGAGCGAAAUGAAUCGACCAAUCAAAUUUGAAAUAAACGGGCGGAGUCAGCAGUGACCUGUCGUGCCGUGCCAACGCAGUCCCUGUCUCAAACGCUGCGUACUCGGAAGUUCUGAACACAGGAAGCACGCAGGAUGCAGAGUGGGUGUUUUUUUUUUUGUUUGUUUUAAAUGUCAGCAUGUAAGACUUUCCCCAGAGCAUCCUCUGCUGGGACCACAGACUGACCCACUUAUAUUAGGCAUUUGGACCACUGAUCAGAGGAAUCUUGAGCCCCAGACUGGGCAGGUGCAGGCUUCACACCUCUGAGAAGAGCCAGCAUGCACACCCGCCUCGCUACACUGUUCAUCGCCAUCACUCUGACAGGUCAGAAACUGUCCGCAGAAACGGAGACGCGGUCCGCCAGCGCGGGCGAAACCGUCUCGCUGCGCUGCGAUGUCGCCCACGAGAAGCAGACGCUGUGGUUCGGACAGCGCUGCGGCGAAGCCCCGUUCCUCGGCGUCUCCGCCAGCUCCAAGGGCUACGACGCGCGCGCGCUUUUCGCGCAGUUCGUCCGGGGCGCCGACCCGCGCCUGGCGGUGGAAUUCGACGCGGCCGCCGAGUCCGUCCUCCUGAGGAUCGAGAACGUGACGGAGGGCGACGCGGCGUUGUACUUCUGCGCCUCCAUGCGGAGGGGAAGUCUGUACUUCGGGAACGGCACCAAAAUCGUGAUAUCUGGUGGUGAGCAUGAUCCCCCCCCCUCUCUGCUGCCCCCCGACUGUGUUCUCUGCUGUGUGCAUCUGACCUUCGUCUCUGUGGUCUGUGUUGUGGUCUGCACCCUGGGUCUCUGCUACUGCAUCCGGCAGAUGUUAAAGAAAAAAACCCAAGAAGAGAGGGGACUGCCAGUUGCUUCUGGGAUGAAGAGACGGACGCGCAGGACUGCAACAUGAAAACAGAGGAACGGCGAAUGAACCCUCCAUCGCACGCAUCACAGCAUGUUUCUUGGGCUUUUUAUUUGGAACGUAAGGCAGAAGUGCCCCCCCCCCCGGUUCACUGCAGUCACCCUCAGUGUGGCAUGCUGGCAUUGUGUCGGAUGUUUGCACGGCAGCCUGUGCGAUCGCUUGCGUGCGUUUCUGCGUUAGCGGCUUGCGGCUUCCGGCCUUGCUUAAUGACCGUCUGGUCUGCGCCGUCAGGCUACAGGUGUGACUUCCUGUUCACUGUUGCCGGGCGACAAAGCACAACUCUUUCACGUUCCACCGCGCGGCAUCCAGUCAUUAUACAUUCAAAUUUCAAAAUACAACAUUGCAUAAAUAGAAGCUGAAAUAAAAUAAAAUAUGAAAAUUAUUUACGUUGA